rnacentral:rRNA from 1 species
GACGAACGCUGGCGGCGUGCUUAACACAUGCAAGUCGAACGAUGAAGCCGGAGCUUGCUCUGGUGAAUUAGUGGCGAACGGGUGAGUAACACGUGAGUAACCCGCCCUUGACUCUGGGAUAACUGCGGGAAACUGUAGCUAAUACCGGAUACGACCCUCGGAGGCAUCUCCUGGGGGUGGAAAGAAUUUCGGUCAAGGAUGGACUCGCGGCCUAUCAGCUAGUUGGUGAGGUAAAGGCUCACCAAGGCGACAACGGGUAGCCGGCCGGAGAGGGUGACCGGCCAAACUGGGACUGAGACACGGCCCAGACUCCUACGGGAGGCAGCAGUGGGGAAUAUUGCACAAUGGGCGCAAGCCUGAUGCAGCAACGCCGCGUGAGGGAUGACGGCCUUCGGGUUGUAAACCUCUUUUAGCAGGGAAGAAGCGAAAGUGACGGUACCUGCAGAAAAAGCACCGGCUAACUACGUGCCAGCCGCCGCCGUAA